rnacentral:rRNA from 1 species
UACGAAGGGGGGCUAGCGUUAAUCGGAAUUACUGGGCGUAAAGCGUGCGCAGGCGGUUUUGUAAGUCUGUCGUGAAAUCCCCCGGGCUCAACCUGGGAAUUGCGAUGGAGACUGCAAGGCUAGAAUCUGGCAGAGGGGGGGUAGAAUUCCACGUGUAGCAGUGAAAUGCGUAGAGAUGUGGAGGAACACCGAUGGCGAAGGCAGCCCCCUGGGUCAAGAUUGACGCUCAUGCACGAAAAGCGUGGGGACAAACGAGGAUAGAAACCGG